GUGACAGCAGGUGACAGCGGCUGGGGCAGCUUUAAAGGCUGCCAGGAGGGAGGGAGGAGGGAGGAGGGAGCCGGGGGUCCCUGCCAGGCUGCCCGGGACAGGUGAUUCACUGGGACACAAGGUGAUGCUCCCCGGCGUGGGAGGUGGUGAGGGGCUGUCACUCCUGUCUGUCCUUUUAAUUGUAUCUGUUGUUUUUUAAAAGGGCUCUGUCCUUUUAAUUUUAUCUGUUUUCGUUCUCCUUUCUAUUGACGUGCGCGCUAAAAUUACACACCCAGAAAACCAGUUUGGAACACACCCAGUGUCUGAUUGGAACCCACAGGAGGCGGGAAGGGAGCCCAGAUGCUGUGCCAAACCCUGAAGGCAUCACCAGGCCAAAAGAAAGAUGCUGUGGAUGUUGGAGGCUGAGAAGUGAGAGGUGGCAUCAGGAGAUGGGGGUCAGAGUGCCACAGAUAUUCCAGGUACAGUCAUGUUUUUACAUUUUAGAAUCUCCCACACAUUCAUUCUGUCUUUCACACACAGAGUUCUGUAGUGCUUGCAGAGAAGAGGAUUUAUGAACAGAAAAAGACAUGGCACUGAAUAAAUCUAGAUAGAGGGAAUUGCUUUGAAUGUCAUGUAUUCCCACAGCUAUAUUAUGGAAAAUAUUUUAUAGUCACUGUUUAUGUGUGUUUAUAGAUUGUAAAAAUGUCUCUUUAGCAUUGAGUUGUGCACUGGUAGGUUGGGAUGGAGCCAGUGGCACACUGGGUGGGUUUGCUGUGGUGCUUGGAGUGCCCUGGGAGAUGCUCAGGGUGGCAACUCUGCAACACUCACACACAUGCACAGAGACUCUCUGAACGUUUGGCUCUAAACUCUUCACUAUUAAAAAAAAAACAAUCUGCAAAAGCAGCUGCAAGAAGGGGAAACUGCUCCUGGAAAUGGAUCCCAGAUGCCUGCAGAGUAAAAACCUCUGCAAGUUGGAUUGCUAAGAGCUGAACCCCUGGAGAUAAAGAAGAUAAAGAGUGAGAGCAUUGCCAGCCUCUGCACCAGCUCUGCUUUGCACACAGAUGUCAGCCCUGGCUCCCAGACACCCAGGCUGGGAUUUUGGGAGGUGCUUUCUGGAGUGCCAGCACAGGCAGCCCCAUCCAUGGCCAUGGGGCUGGAGAUGCAGCUGAUGCCAAAUACUGACUGAAAAUCUCUUUUUAACACCAUUGUCAGGUGAAAUUAUUUCUUAGAGGGUCUGAUGCCUCAUUUAUUUUUCUCUCAAGACACCACACAUGCAGUGGCUCAGUUUCCUUGCCCACUGCCAGCCUUUCUCUGAGGAGAGCCCCCAUUCCAGCAGGGUGGCACACAGGGCUCUGGUCCUCCACUGAGCUUUAACCAUGAUCAGCACUGGGGCAUUUCCUAGAACCAGAGCUUUUCUUGAACCUUUAUCUGAGGGCACAGGGCACUCUGAUGAUGCAAAAACAGAUCCAAGAGCUCUGGCUGGAUUCUACCCACAGUCACCUCAAGGCCUGAGGGCAUCUCCAGACAGCUUGACCAGAGCAGCUCAACUGCAAACAGCUUCCUCAUCGUCACUUAUUUCCUCUAAGGUUAUUUUUGCUAUUUUUAGGAGGACUCCAGGGCCUGCCAGCUGCCCUGACUGCCCCAGCCCAGCUCAAUGAACAUUUUUCCACUCCUCUUGUCUCCCCAGUUAAAUACUAUCGCUGUUCUCAGACUUUAUGGCCAUGGAGUUGUUCCUCUACAAACACCACCACUCAUGGCCCUACCAUUAUACUUUUGGCAGGAACAUGUUAGGUUUUUAUGGGAAUUAAAAAGCACUAGUGAGAGAGAGAACCUGAACCAAAGACAACAUAAAGGGCCUUAUUUCUUUGGGUAGAAGCCCAACAAUGCUAUUAAAUAGCUCAAAGCAGAACAGAGAGCUCUGUCAAAUAUGCAAAGCUGACAGACACCACACUCCAGUGGUUAUUUGGUGCCCCAUGGAGAAAGGAAAACGCUCCAGGAGGAGAUUGCUGUAAGAGGGGAAAGGCUGCUGCUGAGCCCUGACCCCGCUGCUCACACCAGGACAGAGAUUUGGAGCUGAGUUUGGUCUGUUUGUCCAAGAGCAGCUGUGUUUGUGGCUCCUCUUUCCUCCAGCUCUCUGUAACAGCCUUGCCUGGGAGAAAACCCCGAGGAUGAAUCCCUGGGAGCUGCAGCCAGGGCAGAGCUGCAGGACAGCCCCAGCUCAGGGCACCCAGCUCUUCCUCCUGCAUGGGGAUGUCAGCACCCAAAGGAUCAGAAAUCAUUUCUGAAGGUAAAGAAAGCCUUCAGAAGCGAGUUAAUCCCUGUGUUCAUUGGGUCCAGGUCCUGCUGAGCCGUGGUGGCUGCGCUGUGCUCUCCCUGCAGCUCCGGGUAGAGGGGCCGGGAUAGCUGCGAAAUUCUGAGAAGUUUGGGGUUGGUUCCAAACUUUAUCACUGGCCAAACCAGUGGCUUUGAUGUGAAAUCCCAAACUCUGCGAGCAUCUGACUCUGAGCAUGGAGGGCUGGCUGUGCUGCCAAUAUCAGGGGUGUGAGCUCUGAAAUAACAGCACGAGCCACGGGAGGAGCGGGGACCUUUCCUCUCUGCUGCAAAGCUGCUGCUCACUUCACUACCCAGCACUUGUUUGCAUGGCAAAGGUGGUGUUGAUGGAAAUGUGGGGGAUUCCUAAUGGUCCUGAAGUUUUUUGCAUGUUAGAAUUGCCAAGAACUCUUUU